CAAAGAGAAAAAUCUAUGGAUAAACUGAUAUAUUUAUAAACUGGUCCUGACAUGAAUGGAAAGGAAAGUUAAUAAGCUCUUUUAUGUAUUACAACAGAACCUUGAACCAUGAGUUCUAGUGUUAGCUUGUUUUACACUCUUCUUUGACAUGAGGUGUGGUGGGAACUAGUCACACAGGUUAAUGGUGAUUAACCUGUGUGACUAAUAUCUGGGUAACAAAAGAGACUGGCGCUUUGACAAAGCAUCAUUCUGAAAAUUUGACACACCUACUUCAUCGGUACAAUGAUGACUAAUGAAGUUACUUGACUGUUACUAGGAAAGGAUAAUUGUUAAAGAGAAGGCAAUAGGACAAAUAAUGGAGCAAGCUCACUGGUUGUGUGUACUGUAUACUACAUAAUGGCUGUUGUGAUACGCUUGCACUUGACAAAACUGAAGCGUCACAGAAGAGCUGCAGCUUCAGGCUAUCUGGCUCAUACAUGAAGUUGCGACAUGCGUCAUGAAUUACUCAGCAUGAGUGGAUGGUGAAAAGUUGAGUGUGAAUGCUACAUCGGAAGAAAUCCAGCUAACUGCAUCAAGCGCUGCCUUUACAGCAAUUUCUCGUUCUGGACAAACAUGCUGUGUGUUUCAUCUAUAAAAACCGACCGUAAAUAAUGGCCACAAUAGUUGGCCACCCUCCAGGAAGAUGCCACCUUUAAAGAGAAAAAACAGGCCAAGUGAAACUUCUUUGAACAGACAAAAUAAACAGAGCGAAAACAAACAAUCAAAGUUAAUGGACUUGAUAGAUGUAGAUGAUGCAUAAAAGGUGUGAGGCUUAGAAGUAGAAGAACCUUCUCUAAACCCGAGAAAUGUCUCCUGAUGAGCACAAUUAUCAUGUCAUUGUGACUUCUAGUGUUAUAACAAUAAAUGUCACAAAACACUGUAAUAAAAUUUUAAGUCUUUAUUACUCAUCCUUGGCAAUAAAAAAUGACAUGCAGUUUCUAUCUGCAGAUGGAAACCAGACUACCCACUCACGCAGAGGGAAAAAAAUGAACUUUAUGCAGAAAGUUCCUGGUUGAGAGGUGAACCCAGAAACUUCCUGUUGUGAAACAAUAGUGCCAGCAGCUGCAAAGCUCCCAUAUCAGUCCUCAGCACAUUAUUCCAAAAGAAGCAUCCUUUAUAAUCUUUAACCAUGCAUCCCCUUCUAGAGAUAUUAGUGACUGGCUAAUUAGUGACUAAGUGAGAAUCACAUACCAAGAUUGUGAUAAACCUUUCUUUCUUAUAAGUCUUAAUUUUUAAAUAUAUAAAUCUGUCCCUUUAAAUUGAUUUCUAAGUCAUCAUGUUGGAAUGGUUUAUUUUUAGUGAUUUUGUUCUGACUCAUCCAUUGAAAAUCUAAUAAAUAUAGGUUUGGUGAGCUCUUAAGAUCUCUAUAGCUAUAAGGAAUUCAUGAGAACACCAGACGCUGAAUAUUCCAGUUUAAAAAGUAUGGCUUUUACCCUGCCAAUGCUUAUUAAGGACCAGAUGAGUAACAUCCAGUCUAAUAGCCCAAGUUCUAGUAUUUGCACAUUCACAUGAUCUUAGAAUCACAAAGAAUAAAUUGUGUUUUAUAAAAAGAAAUUAGUAAAACUUAUAAAACUUAAAUUUUAUUAGUGUUACAUAAACAAUAAAAUGUAGACUCAAGGAAAACAAUGCUUCUCUUGUUGAUGGCAAACACUGAUUAGACUACAGUGUCUAGAAUAAAUCAAACUAGGAGAGAUGACGUGUGCACAGGUGAAUGAAUGAUUGUAGUGUCAACCAGAUUGGAGUUCUCAGAUUAGAUAAAGCCUAAACAAGUGCCGGCUAUUCUACCUUUUAUCAUGCUGCAGCUGAGAUUUUUUUUUUUUAUGUGUUGUUUCCUCAAGAAAUGGCCUCUAUCAGUUGUACUGAACUCAGAGGUUUCAGAAAACACUUCUUGUAACAAGCUGACUUAAAAGCCAAUGAGGAAAAGAAAGCUUGCUUUCAGUAACAUUUUCCUUUUACUGAUGAAAUAAUUAUUAGCUUUUUAAAAUUUUCUCAGUUUAUCUUUGUCUGAAUUUAAAAUUAGUUUGGUGAUCUGGAACAUGUUAAAACAGAAGAAAUUCCAUAAGACAGCAUUUAUUAUUUUUAAAGAUUUUUACUGACAGCAAUCAGGCGGAAAAUGGGCAGAGAGAGGAAGGUGGGGGCGACAUGCGGCACAGAUCGAAAGGUUAGGAAGUGAAUCCCAGAUGGCUGUGUCAGGCACUUAUAGCCUCGUUAUAUGGGGCGUAGGCUCCACCACUACACCACAGGCUGCCAGAGAGGGCAAAUACUUCUGCACAGCGCUUUAGCUUUCCCUCAGCAUGAAGGAUCACUGCUAAAUCUGUGCAUUACAAUGUUUUUUUAAUGGAUGGAUGGAUGGAUGGAUGGAUGGAUGGACACCAUGUUUCAGAAAUCAAAUUCAAGCAACAAAAAUCAUGGUGAAAUGAAUUUUGUUUUAAAAUAAUACCUGAUUUGACUCCUGCUGAGAGUAGAGCUUGAUUAAUUCUGGCAAAGUCUCUAUGUUCUGCUGAAGGAAGUGUCAACUUUUGCUCACAAGCAUUGCAGUUGAUUAGUUUCAAUAAAUCAAAAACACCACACCUGAAGAAACAUUUAACUUUUAAUCUUAAUGCAGAAUCUAGACCUUCUGUGGGAAAGUACAACUUACGGAAAACAGGUUGAGAUUGAUAAAGCACGAUACUUUGUUUAAUUCAACAGAGCUCAAUGACAGCAAGACUGAUGUAACUCUUGGCUUCAGGAACAGUCAGGGUUUAAAUCAGGCAAAAGCGCAGCAGACAGUUUUUUUUAACCAUGUGUUAUGGCUCCAAAGGUAGCUUGCAGACAUUGCUCUGUAAAUAAAAUGACAGCUCUAUUAGAGAAGGUUUAUCUUUGAAAAGUCAAAGAUGAAGGAGCAUUGCCAAUGGAAAAAAGAACUAGAGUAAGUUAUCUUUCUCGCUAUGACUACCUGAUGUAAUAACUUUAAACAACUUAAAACCAAAAAGAAAAAGCUCAACAGCCUUUAAAGUUGGUGCUGCACCACCUCAAAUCCCCAGGUAUGGAUUAGCAGCAUGGAUUUCCAAUAAAAGUGACAAACACACUGUCACACACAUAUAUUCAGACUUUUGUCUGAUUUGUGUGUUUUCUUUGAAAAAUAUAUUAUAGCAUUUUUUUGUAUCUUUUGUUGUUUUUUGUUAUCAACUUUAUACAUUAAGACCAUUUCUGAGUCAAUUAACAUUUUCCUCAUUUUAAUGUUUUUCUUUUUCUUUGUCGUAUUUGUGUGGUCAUUUUUCCUACAACAGUAUUCCUAUUGGCAAGCUUCCGUGUCAUGACAUUUUCCAAACUUGUUCUGCAUUGUUUGUAUUUUCGGUCAAAUCUGGAAUCUCUUCCUCAUAUUCUCCAGAUGCAUAGGUGUCUGUAGAAUUUGUUCUACAUGAUUUCCCUUGAAUAACUUCAUUUUCCAUGGAGAACAUGUUCCAUGUAGAUGCAGAAUUGUGCGUUUACAAUUUCCUUGUUCCGGCUAAAGUUAGAAGUAUCUUUCCCAUGCAUCCUAAGCCAUGAUGACAGAUAUGAUGAGAUAUGCAUUGUCUUUUCUUGUGAUCUAGUUAUUCAGUGUUUUGUCUUUGGUCACUUCAAAGUAUUUACAUGUAAUUUGCAAUAUUAGUUUUUUUCUCUCUCAGAUUGUUACUGAUUCCAUUUUACUCCACACAAAAUGUAGAAUCAUCAGUCAUUGUAUGAAACCUAUCAUAUCAUCAUGUGCUACCAAAACACAAAAAGACCAAUACUUAUGUCACUAAUGCAACUUGGUAAAAUCUUAACUCUUA